GUGCCCGGAACUUUGUCUCAGCCUGGACUGUUAGCGCAGGUGAGCAAAGUUUCAGGUGUGU
rnacentral:pre_miRNA from 1 species